rnacentral:rRNA from 1 species
UACGUAGGGGGCGAGCGUUGUCCGGAAUCAUUGGGCGUAAAGCGCGUGUAGGCGGCCCGGUAAGUCCGCUGUGAAAGUCCAGGGCUCAACUCUGGGCGUGCGGUCGAUACGGGCAUCACUUGAGUUCGGCAGGGGAGACUGGAAUUCCUGGUGUAGCGGUGAAAUGCGCAGAUAUCAGGAGGAACACCGGUGGCGAAGGCGGGUCUCUGGGCCGAUACUGACGCUGAGGAGCGAAAGCAUGGGUAGCGAACAGG